rnacentral:rRNA from 1 species
UACGUAGGGUGCAAGCGUUGUCCGGAAUUAUUGGGCGUAAAGAGCUCGUAGGCGGUUUGUCGCGUCGGAUGUGAAAACCCGGGGCUUAACCUUGGGCCUGCAUUCGAUACGGGCUGACUAGAGUUCGGCAGGGGAGACUGGAAUUCCUGGUGUAGCGGUGAAAUGCGCAGAUAUCAGGAGGAACACCGGUGGCGAAGGCGGGUCUCUGGGCCGAUACUGACGCUGAGGAGCGAAAGCGUGGGGAGCAAACAGG